rnacentral:lncRNA from 1 species
AAAAUUACUGUUAGCAAAGAAUUCGACGGGGAUGCUUUCAGCCUGCAUAGGGUCGCCUUUCUCGUCGGACAUCAAUCAGGAGACAGCCGACCCCAAAAGGAAGAUGCCCCCGAUGGAGGCCUACGAUGGGAUGGGGGAUCUGUAUGACCACUCAGACGGGUAUGAUAGGCUGAUGACAUACUACGGGCAUUCGGAUAUUGCCAAGUGUCAUAUGUUCGCAACAACCUUGAAAAAGAGCGCCCGGGAGUGGAUGGGAACCCUGGCGACG